CGGCAACUCCCAGUACAAGCGGCGCUGGAUCCAGGCUCUCCUGCUUCCCUUCCCCUCCCCUCUGGCGAGCUCUGUCGCCCCCAUCCUCUCCGACGAGCUCUCCUGUCUCCCCGCCCCUCUAGCGAGCUCGCCGCGGCCGGAUCCACCCUUCCGACCUCUGGAUCCGCUACGGCCCUGCCUUGCCUCACCGCCCCGUGGCGACGGAACUGAGCGCCACCGGCCCCUGCUCCAGCCCGCCGGGAGCCAUGUGGUCUGCUCCGUCAAGCCACCGGUGGAUCCAAGCUCGAAAGCUCAGCUGGUUCACCGCGCGCCGCCCCUGGUCUUCUGCCAUGACCGUCGGGAUCCCCAGCCCCUCUGCCACCGCAUCCAGCUCGCCACCGCUAGAUCCGCCUACCCGGCGACACCACCGUCUCACUGCAGUCCCCCCUCUCUCUGUAAACCCCUCUUCCAGAUACCUACUACGGCGAGCACCACAGGCAACAGCGGCCUGCAGUUCGUUGGCGGCGAGUGUGUGGCUCGCACUGCAGUUCGGUCGUCUUUUUUUGGAUUCACUUUUGAUUGUUUUGCAACAAAGGGAUGCAGUUCUUUUGGUGGCUGGCCGGUGAGCGUGCAGGUCCCCCACACCGGAUCCUUCCCCCUGGACUAUGGCGUACCAGCAGGUACGACAAAAAGUUGCCAUGGCCAGUGACGCCAUCACUAGACUCCGGCUAGGUCGCUUGGAUCCUCGGUGCAUCUCGGCCGACGGCAGCGAGAAGUUAGUUGCAGGUUCGCUAUUUUUGAAGUCCCCCUGUCAUUGUGGGAGCAUUGCAGUUCGUUUCACCCCGUCUCAUAGUACAGAGAUUGUGCGAGCAUUGCAGUUCGUGUGCAUGCUGAAUUUCUUGUUAUUUAUCUAAAAAAAUGUGGUUGACUUACAGUAAUGUGGUCCAUCUUCGAGCGUGUUGUGGUUCAGUAAUGUGGUCCAGCUU